GAAUAUUGGACAAUGGGGGGAACCCUGAUCCAGCCAUGCCGCGUGUGUGAAGAAGGCCUUUUGGUUGUAAAGCACUUUAAGCGCGGAGGAGGAGCUCUUGGUUAAUACCCCAGAUGCUUGGACGUUACUCGCAGAAUAAGCACCGGCUAACUCUGUGCCAGCAGCCGCGGUAAUGCAGAGGGUGCCAGCGUUAAUCGGAUUUACUGGGCGUAAAGCGCGCGUAGGGGGCCAAUUAAGUCAAAUGUGAAAUCCCCGAGCUUAAAUUGGGAAUUGCAUUCGAUACUGGGUGGCUAGAGUAUGGGGGAGGAUGGUAAAAUUCCAGGGGUAGGGGUGAAAUGCGUAGAAAUCUGGAGGAAUACCGGUGGCGAAGGCAACCCUCUGGCCUAAUACUGACACUGAGGUGCGAAAGCAUGGGGAGCAAACA
rnacentral:rRNA from 1 species